GCGAGAGAGAGGAGAACAAACACACCCAUACACACAGGUCGCCGGUCGGGGCACCGUCAGACCUGACAGUAUGUGCUGUCUCUUGGACCUAGUACAGAAUAUUUUUUCACUGCCCAAAAUCUGUCAGUAAUGGUUUGGGUUUACAUAAUGAUCUUAACCAAGAGGAAGAGAGAGCAACACAUCAUCAAAAAGCAGCUGCAGCAGCUAAGGAUCAUGGCCUCAGACUCGGAAGUGCUAAUUCUCACACUGGAAUGGCUGCGAACCACCUUGCGAGCUGGGGGCCACCACUUGAUAAACAGAACCACAUCAUCUGUGAAAUACAGAGACAAGAUUCUGAGACUACCCAAGUUGCUGUCAAGUGGCCUUUUGCCACUUGCCGACUAUAUCUAGUCUAGGCUUAAUUAUUCUUUCAAAAUGUAUAAUCACCUCCUGCUGUUCUGAUACUACUUCACUUGUCUCUGUAUAGAAUUGAACAUUUUAAGAUAAAAUCAGGUUUACAAAAAUCGAGUUUCAAAAUAAA